rfam:Dipodomys ordii contig_11246, whole genome shotgun sequence.
GGGAAAGUGGCUCAGUGGUAGAGUGCUUGCCUUGUAUGCAUGAGGCCCUGGGUUCAAUUCCUCAGCACCA